rnacentral:rRNA from 1 species
GACGAACGCUGGCGGCGUGCCUAAUACAUGCAAGUUGAGCGAUGAAGCUUGGUGCUUGCACCAAUUUGAAGAGCAGCGAACGGGUGAGUAACGCGUGGGGAAUCUGCCUUUGAGCGGGGGACAACAUUUGGAAACGAAUGCUAAUACCGCAUAACAACUUUAAACAUAAGUUUUAAGUUUGAAAGAUGCAAUUGCAUCACUCAAAGAUGAUCCCGCGUUGUAUUAGCUAGUUGGUGAGGUAAAGGCUCACCAAGGCGAUGAUACAUAGCCGACCUGAGAGGGUGAUCGGCCACAUUGGGACGGAGACACGGCCCAAACUCCUACGGGAGGCAGCAGUAGGGAAUCUUCGGCAAUGGACGAAAGUCUGGCCGAGCAACGCCGCGUGAGUGAAGAAGGUUUUCGGAUCGUAAAACUCUGUUGGUAGAGAAGAACGUUGGUGAGAGUGGAAAGCUCAUCAAGUGACGGUAACUACCCAGAAAGGGACGGCUAACUACGUG